UUUAGCUUUCUCGCUGUCUUGGACGGGAAGACUGAAACCAAUUGCAACAAAAAAGAAAAAAGCUCUCUUCUUUGUUCAUCAUCGAUCGAUUCUUCUGCAAAAAGGUUUGUGAGAUUUCGAUAAAACCUAAGAAAUGGAAGAUGUACUUACCGAGAAUCCUCCACCUUCAAGAUUCUUCCAAGAAGAUCUUAACAACUUUGUUCCGCCACCUGAAUCCCUACCAUCUCCUUUCAUCAUAUUCUCAAACCCGAAACCCGAACUUCCUCUCCGACCAUCUCUACUCAUCAUAGCCAUAUCUUCACCUUCCCUCUAUAUUUUCCAUAAUUUACCUUCAAAGACUCUCCUUGGAAGUCUCAUCAUGCAUGAAGUCCCGUUUUCUGGAAACACCAUGGAACCAUUGAGAGAGAGAGAGUUACUUGUUGCAUGCAAGGCAGAACAAAUUGGCACCACGUCAUGGGUCUCGGAUGCUCUCUUCUUGCAUGGAGGUGUCUCUGUAGGUGUCUCCACAUAGCCGUCCAAAUCAGGAGUCUUGUAGCCCAUGAAAUGGAUGAAUCCUUCCACCCAUGGAUUGUGAAAGCUUGAACUCCUUCUCGAAGGAGAGAUCAAAACUAGCCGUGGGAAAUUGCUUUCGGGAAAGAAUUGUAUUGUCAUGUUGAUGACGAGAAAUACGUCGUGGCAAUUCUUUCCCGAAAGCAAUUUCCCAUGGCUAGUUUUGAUCUCUCCUUCGAGAAGGAGUUCAAGCUUUCACACUCCAUGGCUGAAGGAUUCAUCCAUUUCAUGGGCUACAAGAUUCCUGAUUUGGACGGCUAUGUGAAGACACCUACAGAGACACCUACAUGCAAUAAGAGAGCAUCUGAGACCGAUGACGUGGUGCCUGCAAAAAAAGCAAAAACAGAGAAAGUUUUACCGACUAGAAAUUUGUCCGGCCUUGCAUGCAACAAGAAUUUCGGCUCAGCGAAGGCUCUCCAGGAACACAACAAAGCCAAACAUUAAGUGGUUAGGAUAGUAGUACGUUGACGAUUGCCUUUAAUUAGCUUUUUGGUAAUAAAAAAACAUUAAUGACUUUUGGUAACCCUCUAGAUAUGACUAUAUGGAAUUAUUGUAUUGUGUCUGUAAUGUCUUUAACAAUGGUUAUUAAUUUAUUAUAAUCUAAUCUGUAUUUCACAAUUGGGAUCAAAGGUUUGGUUACCACUUACCAAUCAAUUUAUAUUUUAUAAUCAGAGUGAUCAUCUUAUAAUACAAUUCCUUGUAUUGUUAUAAUGUCAUCUCAAAAUUAGCUCCCUUGCAACAGAUUAACACUAACUGAAUUUUUUGGUUUAAUGCAUAAUUUGAUCAUCA